rnacentral:rRNA from 1 species
CCUACGGGUGGCAGCAGUGAGGAAUAUUGGUCAAUGGACGAGAGUCUGAACCAGCCAAGUAGCGUGAAGGAUGACUGCCCUAUGGGUUGUAAACUUCUUGUAUAAAGGAAUAAAACGAGGCACGUGUGCCUUUUUGCAUGUACUUUAUGAAUAAGGAUCGGCUAACUCCGUGCCAGCAGCCGCGGUAAUACGGAGGAUCCGAGCGUUAUACGGAUGUAUUGGGUUUAAAGGGAGCGUAGAGGGGUUGUUAAGUCAGUGGGGAAAGUUUGCGGCUCAACCGUAAAAUUGCAAUUGAUACUGGCAGUCUUUCUUACAGUUGCGGUAAGCGGACUUCGUGUUGUAGCGG